GACGAACGCUGGCGGCGUGCUUAACACAUGCAAGUCGAACGGUAAGGCCCUUCGGGGUACACGAGUGGCGAACGGGUGAGUAACACGUGGGUGAUCUGCCCUGCACUUCGGGAUAAGCCCGGGAAACUGGGUCUAAUACCGGAUAGGGCCACUGCCUGCAUGGGUGGUGGUGGAAAGCUUGUGCGGUGUGGGAUGGGACCGCGGCCUAUCAGCUUGUUGGUGGGGUGAUGGCCUACCAAGGCGACGACGGGUAGCCGGCCUGAGAGGGUGACCGGCCACACUGGGACUGAGAUACGGCCCAGGCUCCUACGGGAGGCAGCAGUGGGGAAUAUUGCACAAUGGGCGCAAGCCUGAUGCAGCGACGCCGCGUGAGGGAUGACGGCCUUCGGGUUGUAAACCUCUUUCAGCACCGACGAAGCGCAAGUGACGGUAGGUGCAGAAGAAGGACCGGCCAACUACGUGCCAGCAGCCGCUGUAA
rnacentral:rRNA from 1 species